GGUAUAUAGCUCAGUUGGGAGAGGGCUGGCCUCUCAUGCACAGACCCUGGGUUCAAUCCCUAGCACCA
rnacentral:tRNA from 1 species